CGAAAGCCUGACGGAGCAACGCCGCGUGAGGGAUGGAGGCCUUUGGGCUGUAAACCUCUUUUCUCAAGGAAGAAGAUCUGACGGUACUUGAGGAAUAAGCCACGGCUAAUUCCGUGCCAGCAGCCGCGGUAAUACGGGAGUGGCAAGCGUUAUCCGGAAUUAUUGGGCGUAAAGCGUCCGCAGGCGGCCGUUUAAGUCUGUUGUUAAAUCGUGGAGCUCAACUCCAUCACGGCAAUGGAAACUGUUCGGCUUGAGUAUGGUAGGGGCAGAGGGAAUUUCCGGUGUAGCGGUGAAAUGCGUAGAUAUCGGGAAGAACACCAGUGGCGAAAGCGCUCUGCUGGGCCAUUACUGACGCUCAUGGACGAAAGCCAGGGGAGCGAAAGGGAUUAGAUACCCCUGUAGUCCUGGCCGUAAACGAUGAACACUAGAUGUUGGGGGAAUCGACCCCCUCGGUGUCGUAGCUAACGCGUUAAGUGUUCCGCCUGGGGAGUACGCACGCAAGUGUGAAACUCAAAGGAAUUGACGGGGGCCCGCACAAGCGGUGGAGUAUGUGGUUUAAUUCGAUGCAACGCGAAGAACCUUACCAAGGCUUGACAUCCUGCGAAUCUCUAAGAAAUUAGAGAGUGCCUUCGGGAACGCAGUGACAGGUGGUGCAUGGCUGUCGUCAGCUCGUGUCGUGAGAUGUUGGGUUAAGUCCCGCAACGAGCGCAACCCACGUUUUUAGUUGCCAGCAUUCAGUUGGGCACUCUAGAAAGACUGCCGGUGACAAACCGGAGGAAGGUGUGGACGACGUCAAGUCAUCAUGCCCCUUACGCCUUGGGCUACACACGUACUACAAUGCUGCGGACAAAGAGUAGCGAUCUUGCGAAAGUUAGCUAAUCUCAUAAACCGUGGCUCAGUUCAGAUCGUAGGCUGCAACUCGCCUACGUGAAGGAGGAAUCGCCAGUAAUCGCAGGUCAGCAUACUGCGGUGAAUACGUUCCCGGGCCUUGUACACACCGCCCGUCACACCAUGGAAGUUGGCCAUGCCCGAAGUCGUUACUCUAACCUUUUGGAAGAGGGCGCCGAAGGCAGGGCUAAUGACUGGGGUGAAGUCGUAACAAGGUAGCCGUAGCGGAAGCUGCGGCUGGAUCACCUCCUAA
rnacentral:rRNA from 1 species